rnacentral:rRNA from 1 species
AGAGUUUGAUCCUGGCUCAGGAUGAACGCUGGCGGCGUGCCUAAUACAUGCAAGUCGAACGAGGUGCUUUUGUAGCAAUACGAGAGUAUCCUAGUGGCGAACGGGUGAGUAACGCGUUGGUGACCUACCCCAAAGUGUGGGAUAACAGUCCGAAAGGAUUGCUAAUGCCGCAUGUGGUCAUUGGAUUUAGAAACUGAUGACUAAAGGAGCAAUUCGCUUUGGGAGGGACCUGCGUCCCAUCAGCUAGUUGGUGAGGUAACGGCUCACCAAGGCGACGACGGGUAGGGGACCUGAGAGGGUGGCCCCCCACAAUGGAACUGAAACACGGUCCAUACACCUACGGGUGGCAGCAGUAGGGAAUAUUGCACAAUGGGCGAAAGCCUGAUGCAGCAACGCCGCGUGUGUGAUGAAGGCCUUCGGGUCGUAAAGCACUUUUCUGGGAGAUGAGAAAGGACAGUAUCCCAGGAAUAAGUCUCGGCUAACUACGUGCCAGCAGCCGCGGUAAUUC